rnacentral:lncRNA from 1 species
ACAAGUCAAAACAAAGUUCGAGAACUUUCAAGUCAUAAAUGAGAAUUUUAUUGAAGAAAAAUAAUUGAAUUUGAUUUUGAUUUUGAUUUGGCUAAGAUUUGCUUGACCAAAUUAAAAAGUAAGAUUAAUUUGAAAAGAAAAAUAAAAUUUAGAAGUUAAAUUAGCUAAAAUUACAUGAUUUUUUGGAAUUAAUAAUGAAUUUGCAGCAAACAACUAAAUUUAAAGAUUUAAAUUGAUUAUAUUAUUGAAAAGAAAGAAAGGUGAUUUAAAUUAAUAAUGAAUUUGCAGCAAACAACUAAAUUUAAAUAUUUCUUGGGUGCUCGGUUAGAUCCAAGCACCCAAAAAAUAUUUUUUAUCCAUACUGCCUAAACCAUUGAAACACUAACACCACCAAAUUCAUCUCCAAGCCCAGCCUUCUCUCAUAUAAACUUGAAGACUAUAGCCAUUAUUCCCAACCCCUGUCUCCAGACAAAACCCAGACAUUCUUCUCCUCCUCUGGCGAAAGCCCCACUAAAACAAUCACCCACGAAACCAAAACCUCAUCACAGACCCAUAUUCCCUCCUUCCACGCCAGUAUCCGUGACCCAUCUCCUCUUCAUUUUACAAAUCAUCCAUGGCUGGCGACCUCCCUCUCAUCAAUGUCAACCCAGCGACACUACGCCACCGAAGACGGCAACAGCUUCCCAGUAGCAGCUUCUCCACAUCUCACCCGAAGCCCCUCUCAAACGGCGGCGCCUCCCAUGUCUCCCUCUCACAACAGUUCCAGAAAACAAGAAGCCCUAAACUACCACAAAGAAAAAUCCCAAAUCAAUUUCUUCACAAUCGGUUUUUUAAGUUGCUUGCAGGUUUGUUAAAUAGGCCCGUGACAUGCACGUGAGUUCAAGUUCAGCGAUUUUAAA